CUCGCGGUACUUAGAAAGCAAGGCUGUCAGCUGAUGAAAUUGGGGAUCGCUACGCUGACGCUUUCCUCUCUUGUCUCCCUUGAGAAUCUGGAAGAGGUAGCCCUUAAAGAAGUCAACUAGAUCUUUCUGGUUCACACAACCGGAGUACUGAGACAGAUAGGACUGGAUGCGGGGCAAUAGCAACUGGAAGACGGAACCAUCGCCUUCGAGCGGUAGCUUUCCUUUCUUCUUUCAUUUUAUAUGAUUAAUGACCUGUGCAUUCAGCUUGCUUCGAAUACGGCGCAGAGGAGCAGUUUGGACUAUGGUGCCAUCAUCCCGGAUCGAAAGCAGAAUGCCGAGGGAUAACAUGCUUCCUUUCCCGCGCAGUAGCUCACUCCACUCUGCGUUCGUUCAAGCUUAAGGUCGGCUAGAGCGCGAAAAAAGAAGGUUUUAAAGCGAGCCAAGCAGCUGUCCUUUCCCUCGCCUGCUCUGAUCCCAACAAGAAAGUCAUCACCCUAUCUAAGGUAUGUCAGCUGAGACUCCACUGCAAGCAGGGACAUCAUCUCCUGAUCGAGCUUGUGCAGAUAGAUGUUCGCAAGCACAGGUGAAAGAGGACUUCAAAGAGGCGUGCCAAUAGUUGGCUUGGAAGAGCUGUGCUUUGUGUUAUGUCUGGGGUUUCGAUUCAACUCUUUCACAGUGCAGCCAACAUCCCUUACUUCACAUGUCAAGAAGGAAUCAAUUAGCCCAAUGAAAGCUCUGUUCCGCCCGCCUAGGUGUUGGCGCAAUGCUUCAAGUAGUAUGCCGUGAUUGAGUCUGUCGAAGCAGCUAUCAGGGAUGGGCUUAGGCGGGAAGAAAGGAAAAGUUAGAGACUAAACAUUAACCCAGCUUCUCUCAUCUUAUUUGAUCAGCAAGAAUUGAAAAGAACGCUUUUUCUAAGGCAAGGACGGGAAGAAGGGCGAGAAGUUUUUUCUGAUGAUGAAAUACGGGCUUACGCUAAACAAUCAGACUACUAUUCUUCUACUACUGUACUGAUUGAUCUAAGGAGUAGUACUUACUGACCUUUAGGAGGUUUUUAGGUGAUCUCUUCGCCUCAUGUUGUUAGCCGAGGGUUGGUCACGUAUACCGCUUCUCCUUAGUAUAUUAUGCCGUUUCCGGUCCCUUGAGGUAAGCAGGUUAGCCUGAGAUGCGCGAUGCCGUCUGCAAUUGUGCAUCUUCCAAUAGUCCAUCGAACCAUUUCACAACACCUCAUCAUGCCAAUGCCAACAAAGCAGCAGGGCAGGGUGGCAUACCGUGUUCCUAGGCCCUACCGAAGAACCGAAAGGAAGGGGCUUGCCUUGCUGCCCUGAACCCAUAGCAGAAUAGGAAGUCGACUGCCGGCCCUCAACGGUGCACUCCCGGCUAAGAGUAAUGCCCUGCUUCCAGCUAAGUAUAAAGAGUUGGGCCUACCGUUCGCGAAUUCACUCUUGGUGGCGAACCGUUAGUUAAGACCCCCUACGAGUGAACUUGGGUAAGGGCUUUUAAAGCUGGAUAAGGCGCGCAAACCGACGUUCUUCCUGUCGGAAACCACACUCAUCAAGCUUGACCUCGACUAACCUACGAUGAUUCUGGCAGCCAUAAUCGCAGGAACACAUGAGUAGCGAAAGACUAAGCCGCUCAUGCUAUGCUGCACCAACCAAUUCACACCUAUUCGGGAGAGGGUUUUGCCUCGAAUAGAGCUCUCGUACGCUCUGCCGAACGAAGACACCGGUCAAGAAAAGAAGAGGCUCCCUUCGGUGGGGACAAGGUAAAGAACUCCGCAGCUAGCGAGCCAAAGGGGAUGGAUCGUGGCGGGAAUUUCAGGCGCAGACAUCUGAGCCUGUUCAGAGACUGAACGCUAAGUCAAUCCACAAUCAAUUGAGAAAGCAACUCACAAUUUCGCUCCGCAUCAGUACCUUGUUGACUCAUGCUGCCCUGUAUUUUCUUUACUUCUGGUCGUCCCCAAACGUCGACCUAACGCUAUGUCAGGGUCACAACGGGCCGGCCUCAUGAGAUUAACUUUUUUAUAGAAUAUUGCUAAGUGUCCUUCCAACCAUCGACUUAUCCGGUCCCGCACGGAUGCUUCUAGCAAUUUCUCGCGUCUAUUGAAGCCUACCUUAUAUAGGCUAAUUCCAUUCGAUCUACUGCUGUCAGGUUUCAUCUCGUUGCAAUGUCAUCCGUCCCUGUCACUCUGGAAGAGGUAAAAAAAGCAGUCACUAGUAUGGGAGCUUACAAGGCGCCGGGCCCCGACGGCUUCCAGCCGGUAUUUUAUCAACAUUGCUUGGACACAAUCAUCGGAUCUGAUUUAAUACGAAUGGUCCAGCUAGCUUUCGAGACGGCCACAUUAGAAAACCAGAUCAAUGCUACCCACCUAGUGCUCAUUCCGAAAACCCAAGCUCCGCAAUCGCUCAACCAAUACCGCCCCAUCCGCCUAUGUAACGUCGCGUAGAAAAUUAUAACAAAGGUGAUAACGAACCGUCUAAGAAAGAUCAUGCCCAAACUGAUUUCACCUGCUCAAAGCGCCUUCGUCCCCGGCAGGCUUAUAUCAGAUAAGAUUUUCAUUACCCACGAGGUGCUUUCCCAUUUACGACGGUCGAAGGCAAAGAAGGGUUGUAUGUGUAUCAAGUUGGACAUCGAAAAGGCAUACGACAGUCUGAAUUUGGACUUCCUUGAGACUAUACUAUAUAAAAAGGGAUUUUAUUCCCAUUGGAUUCGUCUGGUAAUGACAUGUGUACGGACCCCAACCUUCUCAGUACUAGUUAACGGAACUCAGACUGAUUCAUUCAAACCUACACGAGGCUUACGUCAGGGGGACCCUCUCCCCCCGUACCUCUUCAUCCUGUGCGCGGAAACACUGUCAGCGGCUAUCCACAAGGCAACCGAACUAGAUCUAGCUGACCCCAUCAGAGUGUCCAGAUCGGGCCCACCACUAUCACAUUUAGUGUUUUCCGACAAGACCAUAAUUUUCAUACGCGCAAACCAGAAGUCUUGCCGGACAAUCAAGCAAAUACUGGACCUGGACCACAUGGAAUCGGGCCAGAAGGUCAAUCUUUCCAAAUCUGUUGCCAAUUUAUCCACAGGAGUCCCAAACAGGAAGAAGGAAGUCUUAAAAAAACUGCUAGGUAUCACAAAGACAUCGCCAAUGCAGUCCUACUUGGGCAUUUCCCCUCUGACGCGUAGGCCAUCGCGUAACGAAUUUAAGGCAACUGUAAGCAGAGUAGAAAAUCGCCUUCAAGGUUGGAAAGCUCAACUGUUAACUUUUGCUGGUCGCCUUACGCUCAUAAAAUAAGUCACGGCUGGCAUAUCCAACCACAGAAUGAGCUCUUUCAAGAUACCAUUAUCAACAGUUGACCACCUGGAGUCUUUACAAAGAGACUUUCUGUGGUCAAAUGGGAACAAAGGAAAAAUCUAUGCGGUAAACUGGCAAACGGUAUGUCAGCCUUUGGACGAAGGAGGUCUAGGCAUUCGGUCUCUUUACUUAACUUAACAAACCAAGCAUUCCAGGCUAAGCUCCUCUGGUGCCUCCUCCCGUGUACGGACUCACUUUGAUGUGACGUCAUGCGAGCCAAAUCUUUCCCCCACGGCAACCCUCUAGAUGCGGGCAUUCCAUCCAAUAAUUCCUCAUACGCAUGGAGAUCAAUUGGGGACGACUUUCGUCGGGAAGGACGGUCUGUCCCAGAACCAAUAAGAGCAGAAGGCAAAGUAGUGUCAAUUCCACCGGACAAGGAAUAUUGAAGAGUAAAAGAAUAAUGAGCUCUUUCAUCCGCUAAGGCAUCAUAAGAAAGAUAGGCAGAAAGAUAUGCUGAAAGAGGCCGCCCUGAAGCUGGUGAAAAUUGGGCCGUAGAUCAUGACCAUAGCUUUCCUCGCAGCACCGAACUCUAAGCGAGUGGUUCUUCACGAAGAAUUGUUGGCAUGCCUCCAGCGGGACUAUAGGACAGCAAAAGUCGAAGCUUAUGAAUGAGGUUCGACUUUCCACACCAAAAGUCUCUUCCUAUCUUGUCCCAAGGCAGAUCCAAAGCCAGUGGCUUACCUAAGAGCAUGACCGCUAAGCAUUGCUGCUUUCUAUUCUCGCGCGGAUCUUGAAUCUAAAACACUCUUCAAUACUGUUUGGAAAGUCGUCUUGUAUUGAUCUUCUUUUUUCCUGGACAGACUAAAGGUAGAAUGGGCCUCUGUGCUUACUGCUCCUGCCGGGCUUGGUACUGUUGACGAGUCUGGACUUGCCCCUGUUGCUGAACCGGAAGAAGCUUUCUUCUAUAGCUUGACUUCGCUUGUCACAUUUCUCGUUUUGUUCCAGUCCCCCACUAGGAAAAAAUUCUAUUUAAGUGACGGCGGGAUGUAAGGCUCUGGUUCAGUACAUAGACUACUCUUAAAAAAAUGUAUUGAGCCAGGGUGUCAUCAUUCUUUGAAAGAGUAAUCUCCUUCCUUUCCUUCUCUGACCGAUCAAGAUAGCUUGUAAUUCAUUGAUCUGAGGGACGAGAUAUAGUAUCUAACUCAAAACAACUCUGAGAUUUCGUAUAAUUGUGAUGUUCCUACAAACGUGCGGCCUUCCUUUGAGACUGACUCCAUCUUCCCACCACGCUGUAGCAGGGCGAAAUCUCUGAUAGGUGCUGGUUCUCUUCCUCCCAAUUCGAGGAUCGCCGUGAAGCUCCGUUUUUAAAGCGUAGAACAAGCCUUUCUUUCUGAUCCCAAGUACCCGGCCCCAAGGGGUCGGAAGGCCCCAUUUCCCUACCAAGAUCUGGCCAUAUAAUGAAAGUUUUCACGCUCUUCCGAAAAGAGGAGAUUUUGGUCUUGACUUCAUACCCACCAAACGGAGUUUUUUAGUAUACUAAGGAUGACCCAUAUCGAGAAAGGGCCCGUGCUGGUACCGUACCAUUGAAGAGUGAAAUCCCGCCCCUGAUCAUGCCUCGAAGAAGGCAAUUCACGAGGAAAGGUCCCACUCAGACAUUCAGACACACACAAACACAAAGAUGACAACCGGGGCACGUUGCUAAGGAUAGGCUCCUGCUUUGACUAUAGAAUAGAUGAGCGUAGUACAACGCUCUGUGAUGUGGCUCUGCUUCCGAGGGUUAGGUCAAGGGUCGGUCGAGAACAGCUACCUUCCCGAUAGGUCGAUCCAGACUUUGAAAAGUAGCAUAGAAUAUUGCUUCGACUGCUUCGAUAUCAGAAAAAAUCAGACUCAGAGUUGGGACCUUCUGACUCUUUCCUCUGCAAGGACAGUACGAGUCUGCCGGUUCCACUUUCCUUUUUGUGGUAGUCGACGGGAAAUGGGCGCCUUGCUCCACAUUUUGUAUAAGGCUUCCGUGGCGACGUUUGGAGCAGUGAUAUCUGAGCCGGAAUUCCUUUGGAAUGAGCCACGUCAUAUGACCCUUUCUAUACGGCACUUCAUUUCUUCUAGCCGGCGGGGCGGAGGUGGGAUUUCCGGCAUGGCAGCAGCUGUGGGCCCUCACAGAUGCGCAGGCUGGUAGAUGCGCCCGGCGCGAGUCACGUCAUUGAUCGAUCGGCUGCAGCAUGGCUCUGCUGCUUCAUCGACGACUGGAUCGAGAUCGGGAUCGACAGCACAGCAGCUGCUGCAUUAAGGUCUAAGAUGGCUUUUGAGAACGAGAAGCUGCUCGGCACCUCAUUGCUGGAUGUCCGGGCUGGCUUUGCCAGCUGUGGUAGUGGUAGUAUAGUAGCCCUCGAGAAGGCGUGCGCGGACCUGGUCCUUCCUCUCUUUGUGGGGUAAUGGGCCUAAUAAGAGCUUUAGCGCCCCCCUGCGCGUGUGUUCCGUUCCUCCCCCCAUAGAACUUUCUAUGGACGGGGCUGAAUUGCUUUCUGCACCUUAGCGCGCUGCUGCUUUGCUGCUGAAUGACGUCUGCAUGACUUCGCGCUAGUCUCAUUUCUCUUUGGGUAUCGACACCGGUGCGGGCAGGCGGAAGGCUUCCAACUUGGAUAUCAAUUGGCUUCUUCGCUCUGUAGGUGCGCUACGGUAGCUAAGAUAUACAGCGUCAUUCUGAUGGAGCGGGGAAUGCGUACUAUACUUUUUUUUACUACUACUUACUAAAUUUCUUCUCUCUUUUGUUGCUGGAAGCUUUUUCCCAGCCGCUCUAUUAGUUCCUCGUCGGAAGUUUUCUGAGUUCGUCCUUCCGAGUUAAUCUCGUUGCGCGUAGACUUUCAGUUUCAGUAUUUCAGUAGUAGUCAACUUUCGAUGAGAGGCAUUUUUUUAUUAUUGUAUUAAUGUUCGUAGGGGUCUAAUUGUAGUUAUUUGUUGAUGCCAUGCCCAGUCGCCGCAUGGGAUGGCUCGCUGCAUCCUUCAAUUCGCAAGAAUUGAAAGUGGCCUUCCGCUUAAAGAUGGAUUGGCGGGUUCCGAAGAAGACUGGCUUUCUAGGCUAAGGAAGGAACUUCCCGGCACGCGGGAGUACGUUGAAAUCCUCGCUAAGACAAUGGAGGGUGACGUAUGUACAGCUUACGAGAGUGAGGG
rnacentral:lncRNA from 1 species